GAGGAGGAGGAAGAUGAGAGGAGGAGGAGGAGGAGGAGGAGGAGGAGGAGGAGGAGACAUACGAGGAAGAAAACCCAGUGUGAAAGAGGCAGAGAGCAGAACGGAGUCAGUGUGUGUCUAGACUUCGCAGGGGGAGGUUGUGUCGGUCGGCGCUCCCACCAGCAUCACUGACUUGCAACCCAUCCCUCUCCACGCCCUCCCCACGCCCUUCCCACGCCCACGCCCUCCCCCACGCCUAAGAGAGGUGGAGGAACUCAUAACCUACCUCUAGAAGUGCACGGGUGUUCAUAACUACGAAAGAUCUUGAGUUUUUUGGAGAUUUGAACACGAUUUUGAGGAGAAAUAUAAUAAUACAGGAAUACGACAAUUCUGAAAAAAAUAAAAAUAAAAUGAAGCUGAUUUUAACCGAGGAAACGAAACGGGCAGAGAAAAAAGUGUUAAAAUGAAACUGAACGAAGGAUAAAAAUGAUGAUGGAGAUGAUGUAAGUGAAAUGACGAUAGAUGUGUGACAGAGGGGAUUCAUAAAGUGACUGAAACGAAGACAAUAGUGAAAGGAAAGUGAAAAGGAAAGCAAACAAUAGAAACCGCAAAACGCAAAAAGGAGAAUAAGAGAAAAAAAAACACCCACACAACCGAAAAAGAGGAAAUUAUAGAAGACAAAAAAGGAGGAAGAGAAAGAA